rnacentral:rRNA from 1 species
UACGUAGGGUGCAAGCGUUAAUCGGAAUUACUGGGCGUAAAGCGUGCGUAGUCGGUUAUUUAAGUCGGGCGUGAAAGCCCCGGGCUCAACCUGGGAAUUGCAUUCGAUACUGGAUAGCUAGAGUUCGGCAGAGGGAAGCGGAAUUUCCGGUGUAGCGGUGAAAUGCGUAGAUAUCGGAAGGAACAUCAGUGGCGAAAGCGGCUUCCUGGACCAGAACUGACGAUCAGGCACGAAAGCGUGGGGAGCAAACAGG